rnacentral:rRNA from 1 species
GAUGAACGCUGGCGGCAUGCCUAAGACAUGCAAGUCGAACGAAGUGGCCCAACAAUAAUGGAGUGCUUGCACAAAAUUUGCGAUGGAAUUUCCACUUAGUGGCAGACGGGUGAGUAACACGUAAGUAAUCUACCUCAAAGACUGGAAUAAUGUUUGGAAACGAGCACUAAUACCGGAUGAUUCAUAUUUAGAUAACUAAGUAUGCUAAAAGAAGCGUUUGCUUCACUUUGAGAUGAGCUUGCGGCGUAUUAACUAGUUGGUGGGGUAAUGGCCUACCAAGGUGACGAUGCGUAGCCGAACUGAGAGGUUGAUCGGCCACAUUGGGACUGAGACACGGCCCAAACUCCUACGGGGAGCAGCAGUUAGGAUAUUCGUCAAUGGGGGAACCCUGACGAGCAAUGCCGCGUGAGUGAUGACGGUCUUUAUGAUUGUAAAACUCUGUUGUAAGGAAUGAAACCUUAAGAUAGGAAAUGAUCUUAAG